GACCCGUUUGUUUGACCGGAUUAGGGAGGACUGGACUGGACUGGACUGUAGUCCCUUGUUUGGUCUGCACCAGGAUUAGGUUUAAUGGGAUUAGGUCUGACUCGCUGGGAUUAAACCCCUCACUACGAGUUCUAAGCGAAGCACCCCGAUCACCCCCGGACUCGUAAGACCUCUUGCGCUCCUGCGCUCCUGCGAGAGAGAACCUCGCUCAACCUCGAUCCUCGCCGUGCUCCCUCCUUGCCCUGCUCCCUCAUCUUCGUCCUCCUCAUCCUCAUCUCUGCGUCCUGCUCGCCCUCAACUCCAUCCUGCUCGCCCUCAUCUGGUAAACUUCGAAUCCGACAUUAUUUCUUCGAUUUUUUUUUGCAGAUCGUGAUAUUACUGGGCUUUAUUUGAUUUAGGUGUUUUGGGUUUGAUAAAUUUUCAAUUAUAGACAUCUGCACUUGAACAAAUUAGGGUUUUGAUUUUUAGGGUCAAAUUGAGAUUAGAAUUUUCAAUCAUAGCUUGCCGUUGCUCUGGGCUUCGAUUGAUGGUUGAUACAUGCUUUUUAAGUUUGUAUAUCUUUUGAUUCUGGUUUUCUAGGGUCUGUAGCUUUUAGAUUUUAAUUUCUUAACCAGUCAAUUGUUGAUUUGGAUUAUAAGUUACAAAAACAUUGUUGAGUUAUUUGAUUUAGUGUGUGUGUGCAGUGUGUGUGUGUGUGCAGUGUGUGUGUGAAUGAGUGUGUAUGCAGUGUGUGUGUGUGUGUGCAGUGUGUGUGUGAAUGAGUGUGUGAGUUGCAGUGUGUGUGUGUGUGUGCAGUGUGUGUGUGUGAGUGUGUGUGUGUGUGUGUUGUGUGUGUGUGGAGUGUGUGUUGCAGUGUGUUGCCCGUGUGUGUGUGUGUGUGUGUGUGUUUGUGUGUGUGUGAGUGUAAGUGUAAGUGUGAGUGUGAGUGAGUGUGAGUGUGAGUUUGUGUGAGUGAGUGUGAGUUGUGUGUGUGUAUGCAGUGUGUGUGUGUGUUGUAGUGUGGUUGCAUUCUGUCCCCGUGUGUGUGUGUGACUGUGUUUGUGGGUGAGUGUGAGUGUAAGUGUGAGUGUGAGUGUGAGUGUGUGUGAGUGUGAGUGUGUGUGUGUGAAUGAGUGUGUAUGCAGUGUGUGUGAAUGAGUGUGUAUGCAGUGUGUGUGUGUGUAUGCAGUAUGUGUGUGCAUUGUGUGUGUGUGCAGUGUGUGUGUGUGCAGUGUGUGUGUGAGUGUGUAUGCAGUGUGUGUGUGUAUGUAUGCAGUAUGUAUGCAGUAUGUGUAUGUAUGCAGUGUGUGUGUGUGUGUGUGCAGUGUGUGUGUGAGUGUGUAUGCAGUGUGUGUGUGUGUGUGUGCAGUGUGUGUGUGAAUGAGUGUGUAUGCAGUGUGUGUGUGAAUGAGUGUGUAUGCAGUGUGUGUGUGUGUGCAGUAUGUGGUGUGUGUGUGUGUGUGUGUGCAGUGUGUGUGUGUGAGUGUGUAUGCAGUUGUGUGUGUGUGAUGAUGCAGUGUGUAUGCAAAUUGUGUGUGUAUGUAUGCAGUGUGUGUGUGUGGGUGUGGCAGUGAUGUCGUGUGGUGCAGUGUGGUGUUGUAAUAGUGGAGUGUGGUAUGUAAGGUUGUGUGAGUGUGUGUGUUGUGUUGUAGUGUGUGUUGAGUGUAUGACAGAAGUGUGUAGUGGUGGUGUGUAUAUGAUGCAGUGAGAAGACUGCUGUUGACCAGUUUUGUGUGUGUGAGUUAAGUGUAUGUUUGUGUGCUGUGUAGUAGUGUAGUUGGCUAUAGCUGAGUUGGUUGGAGUAUGUAGAGUAAUGCAUAAUGAAGUUGUUGUAUGGCAGUAUGUGUGUGUGCGAGUUUGUGUGUGUGGUGAGUGUAUGUUGGUGUGUAAUAGUGCUGUAUUUUGAGUCUGUGUGUGUAGUGAUGAUUUUUAGGUGAAUGUAAGAUGGGUGUGUGUGUGAGUGGUGUUGUGUGUGUAUAGCAGUGUGUGGUGGUGUGUGUGUGUGUAUGAGUAUGUAUGCAGUGUUGUGUAUGGUGUGAGUGGAGUGAGUGUGAGUGUGAGUGUGUAUGCAGUGUUGAGUGUCGUUGUAUGUGUGGUGUAUGAGUAGUUUUGGUGGUGCUGCAGUGUGAGUAUAAAACCAAGUGUGUGUGAUGUGGUGUAAGAGUGAUUGUUGUCAACUUGUUUGAUCAUUGUGUGUGUGUAGUUGGUGAGUGUGUAUGCAUGUGUGUGGUUUGGUGCAGUAGUGUGGAAUGAGUGGUGUAACAGUUUGUGUGGUGAGUGAGUGUAUAGCAGUGUGUGUGUAUGCAGUAUAUGCAGUGUGUGCGAGUGAUGCCUGUGUAUGUGUAGUGUGUGGUUGAAGUGUGAGUUGUGUGUGUGAAGUAAUGUGGUAGUGUGUGUGAUGGUGCAGUUGUGUGUGUUAUGAUGUUAAGUGUGUGUGUAUGAGUGUGUUCAUUUGUGUGAUGAUGUCUGCGGUGUGGUUUGCGCUUGUAGUGCAGACUGGUGUUUGUGGUGUGUGAGUGGAAGUCUAAAGUGACUGCUGUGUCUGUGUGUGUACGUGGUUGUGUGUAGUGUCGCUUGAAAGUCGUGACGUGUUGUCGUAGCGAUUGUUGUUUUUGUGAGUAUGUAGUGAGUAUAGUGUGUGUGUGUUGUGUGUAUGCAGUUUCGUGGUGAUGUAUCACAUGUGUAGUGUGUGCGCAUCAAAGUUUGUGUGUACUAGUAUUUGCAGUGUGUAGUGUGGUGAUGUAUGCAGUAGAUGUGUGUAAUGUAUGCAUGUGUUUGUGUGUGUAAUGUCUGCAGUAUGUAUGCAGUGUGUGGUGUAGCAGUGUGUGUGGUGUGCAGUGUGUGUGUGUGUGUGUGUGGUGAGUUAUUAUAAAACAGAGUGGUGUGUGAGGGUAAAAUGUGUUGCACUCUGUCCCCGUGUGUGUGUGUGUGGUGUGACUGUGUUGUGUGUGAUGUGAUGUAAGUAUGAAGUGUGUGUCGUGUGUGUGAGUGUGAGUGUGGUGGUGUGUGCAAGUGUGUGUGUGUAUGCCAGUGUUGUUGUGUAUGAUGCAGUAUAGUGGUGCAGUGUGUGUGUAUGUGUGGAGUCGUGAGUGAGUGUGGAGUGUGAGUGUGGUGGCAGUGUGUUUGGUGUAUGCAGUGUGUGUGUGUUAGUGUGUUGCAUUCUGUCCCGCGUGUGUGUGUGUUGACUGUGUUUGUGGGUGAGUGUGCAGUGUAAGUGUGAGUGUGAGUGUGUGUCGAGUGUGAGUGUUGUGCAGUGUGUGUGUGUGCUAUGCAGUGAGUGUGUGUGUGUGUGUGUGUGAGUAUAAAAAACAAAGUAUGUAUGAAUGUGGAGUGUAUGCAUUGCAGUGUUGUUCGUGUAUGUAAAUGUAUGCAGUAUGUAUGCAGUGUUGUGGUUUAAUGUAAGCAGUGUGAGUGUGUGUGCAGUGUGUGUGUAUGCAGUGUGUGUGUGUAUGUAUGCAGUAUGUGUGCAGUGUGUGUGUAUGUGUGAGUGUGAGUGAGUGUGAGUGUGAGUGUGUGUGCAGUGUGGUGUUGUAUGCAGUGUGUGUGUGUUAGUGUGUUGCAUUCUGUCCCCGUGUGUGGUUGUGGACUGGUUUGUGGUGGUGAGUGUAAGUGUGAGUGUGAGUGGUGUGUGGUGUGAGUGUGUGUGCAGUGUUGUGUGUAUGUGAGUGGUGUGGUUGUGUGUGAGUAUAAAAACACAGUAUGUAUGCAAUGUGUAUGUAUGCAUUGUGUGUGUAUGUAUGUAUGCAGUAUGUAUGCAGUGUGUGUUAUGUAGCAGUGUGUGUGUGUGUUAUGCAGUGUGUGGUUUGUGCAGUGGUGUGUGAGUUGUUGCAGUGUGUGUGCAUGUGUGUGUGUGUAUGUAUGUAAGCAGGGUUGUGUGAGUUCUUUGUCAGUGUGUGAGAGUGUGUGUAUGACCGUGAUGUGUUGUUAGUGUGAGUGUGAGUGUGAGUAUGUAUGUUUGGUUUUGCACAUUUGUCCAUGAGUGUGUGUAUGUACUUGGUUUAUAACCAUGAUAUUACAAUGUGAAUGUUUUGUAUUGUGUGGGGUUGAUGCUGAAUUGCAAUUUUUUGUGGUUGUUGGUUGCAGAGAAGAGGAGCAUAAACAGAAGGCUAAGGCUAAGGCUACUGCAUUACAGGUGUCCUUUAAUUUCCCUCUUCACAUGCAAUGCCUAGCAAUGAUAGCAAUCCUCAUACUAGUGUUC
rnacentral:lncRNA from 1 species